UGGGGAAUAUUGCACAAUGGGCGCAAGCCUGAUGCAGCCAUGCCGCGUGUAUGAAGAAGGCCUUCGGGUUGUAAAGUACUUUCAGCGGGGAGGAAGGGAGUAAAGUUAAUACCUUUGCUCAUUGACGUUACCCGCAGAAGAAGCACCGGCUAACUCCGUGCCAGCAGCCGCGGUAAUACGGAGGGUGCAAGCGUUAAUCGGAAUUACUGGGCGUAAAGCGCACGCAGGCGGUUUGUUAAGUCAGAUGUGAAAUCCCCGGGCUCAACCUGGGAACUGCAUCUGAUACUGGCAAGCGUGAGUCUCGUAGAGGGGGGUAGAAUUCCAGGUGUAGCGGUGAAUGGCGUAGAGAUCUGGAGGAAUACGGGUGGCGAGGGCGGCCCCCUGGACGAAGACUGACGCUCAGGUGCGAAAGCAUGGGGAGCAAACAGG
rnacentral:rRNA from 1 species